GAGGUUAUGCUGGAGAAGCCAAGGCAGGCGAUUAUCUCAGCCAAGAGGAUUUAGGCAGCUGAACUGGGAGCCACUAAUGAUGAAUAAAAGCUGAAAUACCCCUUUCCAAGUGAUAUCUUGUCAGCUCACAAGAACUUCUGGUGCUCACAAAUGAGUUUGUUCAUCACCGCAACAAAACGUUCCCCAUGGCAGCACUGUCUUAUCUACCACAAGGAAUAGACAUCAUGGCUCACGAACACAAAUGCCAUCACUGAUCAUGAGUUAACUGUCAGUGGAAGAGUUAUGACAUUUUCAAAGGAGAAAACUUUCUCUACAAGCUUAAGAACAAACACGGAUGUAUUCUGUUAGUCUUAUCAUAAAGCAGUUCUGGACUGAUGGAGUUUAAUUAUAAUUGCCAUUUGCUGACAACCAAACCAAAUUACUCCUAAGUAUUCCUGUUGAAAGUAAGUAGUUCUUUAGAGCAAUUCCUGAGUAGUACUGUUGAUAUUACUGUAAAGUAAAGUAAUACUACUGUACAUGGUUAAAAAUAACCAUGUAUACCACUCUGAGCUCCUCGGAGGAAGAGCAGGAUAAAAGUGUAAAAAUAAAAUAAUAAAUAAAAUUACUUCGGUAA